GUGAGAAUCUGCCUUGGGGUCGGGGACAACCACUGGAAACGGUGGCUAAUACCGGAUAAGCCUUUGGGUAAAAGAUUUAUUGCCCCAAGAGGAGCUCGCGUCUGAUUAGCUAGUUGGUGAGGUAAGAGCUCACCAAGGCAGCGAUCAGUAGCUGGUCUGAGAGGACGAUCAGCCACACUGGGACUGAGACACGGCCCAGACUCCUACGGGGGGCAGCAGUGGGGAAUUUUCCGCAAUGGGCGAAAGCCUGACGGAGCAAGACCGCGUGAGGGAGGAAGGCUCUUGGGUUGUAAACCUCUUUUCUCAGGGAAGAAGCUCUGGCGGUACCUGAGGAAUCAGCCUCGGCUAACUCCGUGCCAGCAGCCGCGGUAAUACGGAGGAGGCAAGCGUUAUCCGGAAUUAUUGGGCGUAAAGCGUCCGCAGGUGGCGAUUCAAGUCUGCUGUCAAAGCACGGGGCUUAACUCCGUUAAGGCAGUGGAAACUGAAUAGCUAGAGUGCCGUAGGGGUAGAGGGAAUUCCCGGUGUAGCGGUGAAAUGCGUAGAGAUCGGGAAGAACAUCGGUGGCGAAAGCGCUCUACUGGACGGCAACUGACACUCAGGGACGAAAGCUAGGGGAGCGAAUGGGAUUAGAUACCCCAGUAGUCCUAGCUGUAAACGAUGGAUACUAGGUGUAGCUUGUAUCGACCCGAGCUGUGCCGAAGCUAACGCGUUAAGUAUCCCGCCUGAGGAGUACGCACGCAAGUGUGAAACUCAAAGGAAUU
rnacentral:rRNA from 1 species